AGAAGAAAGAAGAUUGCUAGACAAGGUCGCUAAGGUUCAUAUCACUCGGCCUUUAGGAAGUUCCAGCGUAGAACCAGUGGAAGUGUGUCAUAACGUGCUGACAGGACCACCUCCGGUUCAGGAAACAGCUGGUGGUUUGACAGCGAGUCAACGGGACAGUGCCAGUGCCAGUGCUAAAGGUCAGGCUUCACCUCGACCAGCAAGAGGAGCUCACGCUGAAUCCGACCACCCGACCAGUCUUAAAGCAAAAGGGUCCUCUGUUUUACCCAAUCCAGCAUCACCUCCAUCUCCUUUGCUGUGGAGGUCACAGAAGGACCGAGCACAAAAUAUUGCCCAAUCACGUAUCGGGCCAAACCUGCCUGGACCUUACCAGCGUCAGUUUUCAAGCCCGGAGACCCUCGCCUGCUCUCCCAGCUCUGCACCAGGAAUUUCCAUCCACAUGAGCCACGUCACUGGACUUCAGAACGGCAACAACAACUACAUGUGCAUCCACACAGACAUCUCCGAGAGAAGACGCCACCCCACGGCGCCAUCUACUGUGACUCUUUUACCACAGCAAUCAGGAAGACACCAGGCGAAGACAGGCGGCGCUGGCUAAGUUUACAUGGAAUUAUCUCGUGUUAAGUUCUCUAAUUCCCUAUUGAUUGUUCUCCCUGGUUGGUUUUGCCUUCACUCCACAACUGGAAAAUCAUGUUUUGCAAGAGUAGCGUUGUAUAAAGGCUUAGCUGUUUUUUUUUUGGACAACAAGCCCUUAUGAUUCAGAAGCUGGUAGAAUCCAUUGUGUUGGCAUUUUAAAUGCUUUGUUUAUAUGACUCUUUGCUUACAAAAAUAGAUGAACGAGCAAAACUUCACUAUUGCUAUGUCAGCAGUGUAAAUAUGAGACAUGUGUGAUCUUUUUUUUUUUUUUUUUUUAACCAACUGUGGUCAACACAUAUUUAUAGUCAUGAUGCCAGCUCAUGAAACAGGAGCCAGAAACUGCUUGAACACCAGCCUGACUAUUAAUCAGACCUGAACCUGAUUCUGAAUACUUCUUGUGGUUUGUUUUAGCCUCCUGAAGUGCCAGAUGGGUGUAUAAUGAAUGAGGGAAAAAAAAAAGUUAUGGCAAUCAUUGGGAAAUAUUGGAAAGUCAAUGCAGUUAUAAUAUUCCUAGUAUCCUGAAACCUCCACCCAUCUGGUUUCCCACAGAAAGCAAAACAGAGCAUUUAUUUGCAAGUUGUGUUUUUAUGUGGGCCUGGAGUCCUUACAUCUGCACUGAACUGUAUGAUAAAAACAUGUAUUUUUCUGCUCUGAAGUUGUGAACCUACUUUGUCUGUAUUUUGUGGAUUUGAUGCUUUUCUAAAAGGAUGUUAAAUAUUUUUUUACUUCCACUCAGGGAGGCAUUUUUGUACUCCUCUGCUGUCCCUGUUACUAGACUUAUCAGGCAUUUGUUGUUUUUUGUUUGUUUUUCAGUAAAGAUGUAAAUACAAAGCAACAUUUAAGUACAAUUUUUCAAUGGUUAUCAGUGUGUUAUGCGUAAAAUAUUUUAUUUGGAGUGUCUUCGGUUAAUAUUCAACGUAGUAUCACCGUAAAUAUCUAAUAUCGAUAUAAAGUAAAUAUCAAUAUCGAGUUAGGUAUCAACACUGACUCAGCUGUGAAAAUCAACUGAUACAAAGUUGAUUUAAAUCCCAUCAAAUGUGCUUUGUUUCCUUUUAACUAGUAUUUAUCAAGGAAAAGGUCUGUCCGUUUUGGGAAAAGUUUCAUUCUCUAUCUCUAAAAUACAGACUCAGCCAGGGAAAAAAGUGGCGGUGGUGGUAUUUUGUCAAAUACUGACUAAAGUUACCUAUUGCUUUCAGUCAUUUUGUAAAAGUCAAUUUCACUUUUCUGAGGGAGGGAGUCUAAUUUUGGAGCAAACCCUUUCAAAUAAUUGCAGAGGCUGUUAUUUGCAUGCUUAUCCAAAAUAUAUGUGUAUGGGUGUGUGUCUAUGUAUGUGUGUGUAGCGGGUUAAAUAGAGGUGGGGACUAUUUACACAUCCAUAAAUACAUGCAUACUAAAUGAAGGCAAAGGUGUUGAGUUAUGCCUAACCCAUUAUAAGGCAUGAGGGCAUUAUUUUUGAUGGAAAAAAAAUGUCUUAAUAUGUAAUUUUAUUAAAUAGAAAUUUUUUAAGGCUUUAAUCAACAAGUGGUAACAUUUUCCCCCUUUCUUUCUCUCUCUGAUGCAGCAGCACCAAAUAAAUGUGAG
rnacentral:lncRNA from 1 species